rnacentral:rRNA from 1 species
UGGGGAAUAUUGCACAAUGGGGAAACCCUGAUGCAGCGACGCCGCGUGAGUGAAGAAGUAUUUCGGUAUGUAAAGCUCUAUCAGCAGGGGAGAAGAAAGACGGUACCUGACUAAGAAGCCCCGGCUAACUACGUGCCAGCAGCCGCGGUAAUACGUAGGGGCGAAGCGUUAUCCGGAUUUACUGGGUGUAAAGGGAGCGUAGACGGCGGAGCAAGUCUGAAGUGAAAGCCCGGCGUAUCCAGGCAGCAUGCUUGAAUGACUGUACUGCUGGAGUGCUGGAGAGGUAAGCGGAAUUCCUAGUGUAGCGGUGAAAUGCGUAGAUAUUAGGAGGAACACCAGUGGCGAAGGCGGCUUACUGGACAGUCACUGACGUUGAGGCUCGAAAGCGUGGGGAGCAAACAGGAUUAGAUACCC